rnacentral:rRNA from 1 species
GCAUAACGCGAAGAACCUUACCAGGCCUUGACAUGCAGAGAACUUUCCAGAGAUGGAUUGGUGCUUCGGAACUCUGACACAGGUGCUGCAUGGCUGUCGUCAGCUCGUGUCGUGAGAUGUUGGGUUAAGUCCCGUAACGAGCGCAACCCUUGUCCUUAGUUACCAGCACGUUAUGGUGGGCACUCUAAGGAGACUGCCGGUGACAAACCGGAGGAAGGUGGGGAUGACGUCAAGUCAUCAUGGCCUUACGGCCUGGGCUACACACGUGCUACAAUGGUCGGUACAGAGGGUUGCCAAGCCGCGAGGUGGAGCUAAUCUCACAAAACCGAUCGUAGUCCGGAUCGCAGUCUGCAACUCGACUGCGUGAAGUCGGAAUCGCUAGUAAUCGCGAAUCAGAAUGUCGCGGUGAAUACGUUCCGGGUCUUGUACACACCG